rnacentral:rRNA from 1 species
AGAGUUUGAUCCUGGCUCAGAUUGAACGCUGGCGGCAUGCUUUACACAUGCAAGUCGAACGGCAGCACGGGGGCAACCCUGGUGGCGAGUGGCGAACGGGUGAGUAAUAUAUCGGAACAUAUCCGGAAGUGGGGGAUAACGUACCGAAAGGUACGCUAAUACCGCAUAUGCCCUGAGGGGGAAAGGGGGGGAUCGCAAGACCUCUCGCUUUCGGAGUGGCCGAUAUCGGAUUAGCUAGUUGGUGAGGUAAAGGCUCACCAAGGCGACGAUCCGUAGCUGGUCUGAGAGGACGACCAGCCACACUGGAACUGAGACACGGUCCAGACUCCUACGGGAGGCAGCAGUGGGGAAUUUUGGACAAUGGGCGAAAGCCUGAUCCAGCCAUGCCGCGUGAGUGAAGAAGGCCUUCGGGUUGUAAAGCUC